UCCACCCUAGGAUUUGAACUCACACCCUAUAAAUCUAAGGGUUUUGCUAAUCAAACUAAGUUGUUAGUUUAAGUCUUCAAUAGUAAAAAAUAUUAAUUAAAAACUAAAACUUUCAAUUUUUAACUAUAUGCAAUGAAUUAAUACCUUCCAAAAAAUUUUACCAUUAAAAGAAGAUAAAAAAGUAAAGUAUCAAUUAGGAGGUGUACCUGCUAAGUCUUAAUCCUGACACCAUUAGUAAUAUCCUUAAUAAUUGCUGUAUCUAAAAUCACUUUCAUCACUAGGCCAGUUGAAUUGCCUUUUCCAAGGCUCCUAAUGCUGAAAAGGUUUAGAUUUUUGGGUAAUAAAUAAAAAUUAAAAAAAGGUUAAAAUGUCAAUUAAUUAGCUUGUUAAAGUGACAUGAAGUUUUACACUAAUAAAACUGUCACAUGGAAAUAAAUUGAUAACAAUUUAAAAUAUAAGAUUAUAAGCAAAUAAACUGAAAAUCUGAUGCAACUGUUAAUUGAAAUAGAAUUGAU
rnacentral:lncRNA from 1 species